UUGCAGGUUUGAGCAGUAUGUUGAUUGUGCUCUUGAAGUUCCAAUGUAUUUUGUCAAUCGAAAAUAGAAAUAUAUCGACUGUACUGGCAUGAGCUUCAAGGUCAGGCUAAGGAGAUAUUUGGAGAUGAGAGGUGCUGAUGGAGGGCCUAUGAGAAGUUUAUGUGCUGGAUUUGGAUUUGGAUUUGCAAUUUUUUUUUUUUUUUGUGGAUACUAAUUGCAGCUUAAGCAGCAAAUAGUGGCAGCUGAUGGCUCAAUCCUUAUGUAUUGAAAUUUUAUCUUAGUUAAAACUUUGGUUGUAUAAUUCUAAUUACUAUAUGUUUAAGCAAUAUUUUAAUUAAAAUUAUGUUUUCUUUGUUGAUUA